AGCGAACGCUGGCGGCAGGCCUAACACAUGCAAGUCGAACGAACUCUUCGGAGUUAGUGGCGGACGGGUGAGUAACACGUGGGAACGUGCAUUUUGGUUCGGAAUAACUCAGGGAAACUUAUACUAAUACCAAAUGUGACCUUCGGGGGAAAGAUUUAUCGACCUUCGAGCGGCCCGCGUCUGAUUAGCUAGUUGGUGAGGUAACGGCUCACCAAGGGGCCGAUCAGUAACUGGUCUGCGUGGAUGCCCAGCCACCCUGGGACUGAGACACGGCCCAGACUUCUACCGGAGGCAGCAGUGGGGAAUCGGGGCAAAUGGGCGAAAGCCUGACGCAGCCACGCCGCGUAAAUGAUGAAGGUCUGAGGAUUGUAAAAUUCUUUCACCGGGGACGAUAAUGACGGUACCCUGAGAAGAAGCCCCGGCUAACUUCGUG
rnacentral:rRNA from 1 species